AGUUCUGAAUCUGCACAACUACCUUCCUCUCUUGUUAUUUCUUUCUGCAAAUUCUAGCCACCUCAGCCCUCCUGAACUCUUAUUUCUGUCUUUUCAACUCAGUGAUACCACAGACCUGUUUGAUUCAGACUGGAAACUCCUAGGAAUAAGUUCCCACUUCUGUACAAAGGGGGAUAAACCUAUGGCGGUAUCUCUCCUGGGCACCACGUGGACUGGCUAAUUAAAGCUAAUUAAGCCCCUGGAAAGAGCCAGAAAAUACUAGGUGUGAAGAGAGAGCUCUUAAGAAUGGAAAACCAACAGGGGCCUGAAAACAUGAAGUGGGAGAAAGAGCUUAUAUUCUUUCCAAAUAAGAAUCUAAACUGGAUUCCACUCCUCACUGUUCUGAAUUGUGCUCAACAUGAGAAGCUGGAGAAGAGAAUCAGAGUCUGUGGUUUCUUCUUGAAGGCAGGGGGCCAGGUGGAAGGAGGGACAGAAGCAGGGGCUAGAAGGUUGUUUCCAACCAUGACUCGAACCCUCUUCCUCCUGCUGGUACAGAUGGGAAUCUGGGGCCACAUGACAUCUGUCCUAGUCAGUUGAGAACAGGUCACCAGCAGAAGGCAGGGGGGCCAAGCCCCCUGUGACAUUGGGCAGCAGAGAGAGGUCUGGCAAGCUCUGAAUAUGGGACUUCAGUUCCUUGCGGACUUGAGUUACCCGAGCAAGCUUCUGUUUAUAUUCCUAAGGAGACAAAGAGAAGAUAAUGCAAUUAAAUCUGUGUGUGCUGAACAGAUAUGCUUAAGAAGUCAAUGUAGCUACUUUUUACCCUUUUGUUCUCUCCUUCCCACCAGACUGUCCCUCCCCUUUGUAGAUGAGCUAUACUAUAAUGCUAGAGUUUUCAAACUCUCAAAAGGCAAAACAUUAUAUAAAAACAAGAAAGCAAAGUACAAUACUGGCAAGAGUGAAUUAAAGGUAUUCAACUUAGCACUUCAGAGUUGGAAGUAAAAAGCAGUGACAUUUAGUAUGCGCAUUCUCUUUUCAUUGGUUUUCAUCUGUUUCAAAAUGCCUUAUAAAAUAAAAUACUGACACUAAAUCUUUACAAUCAUUUGCAGCUCCAUGUAGAUAUGGACCCCAAAAAUCAGUAUAAAGUUAUACUUUCUGUUUUAAAACUUAAGAGAUUGACCCACAUUUAUCAUUUUUAGAGAUUUGUAUUUGUAGUAGAAUUAACCCAUUAUUAAAUAAA